UGCAGCGACGCCGCGUGAGGGAUGACGGCCUUCGGGUUGUAAACCUCUUUCAGUAGGGAAGAAGCGAAAGUGACGGUACCUGCAGAAGAAGCGCCGGCUAACUACGUGCCAGCAGCCGCGGUAAUACGUAGGGCGCAAGCGUUAUCCGGAAUUAUUGGGCGUAAAGAGCUCGUAGGCGGUUUGUCGCGUCUGCUGUGAAAGACCGGGGCUCAACUCCGGUUCUGCAGUGGGUACGGGCAGACUAGAGUGAUGUAGGGGAGACUGGAAUUCCUGGUGUAGCGGUGAAAUGCGCAGAUAUCAGGAGGAACACCGAUGGCGAAGGCAGGUCUCUGGGCAUUAACUGACGCUGAGGAGCGAAAGCAUGGGGAGCGAACAGGAUUAGAUACCCUGGUAGUCCAUGCCGUAAACGUUGGGCACUAGGUGUGGGGGACAUUCCACGUUUGCCGCGCCGUAGCUAACGCAUUAAGUGCCCCGCCUGGGGAGUACGGCCGCAAGGCUAAAACUCAAA
rnacentral:rRNA from 1 species